UCCGAGUUGACCCCGGCAGUAUCCCCUGAGUUCCCACCAUUACGUGCUGGCAACAGAGAACGAGGGUUGCGCUCGUUGCGGGACUUAACCCAACAUCUCACGACACGAGCUGACGACAACCAUGCACCACCUGUAUACGAGUGUCCAAAGAGUUCCGUAUCUCUACGGCGUUCUCGAAUAUGUCAAGCCUUGGUAAGGUUCUUCGCGUUGCAUCGAAUUAAUCCGCAUGCUCCGCCGCUUGUGCGGGUCCCCGUCAAUUCCUUUGAGUUUUAGCCUUGCGGCCGUACUCCCCAGGCGGGGAACUUAAUGCGUUAGCUGCGUCACGGAGACCGUGGAAAGGCCCCCACAACUAGUUCCCAACGUUUACGGGGUGGACUAC
rnacentral:misc_RNA from 1 species